rnacentral:lncRNA from 1 species
GUUGCAGUCUGGCGGCUGCAGGCAUAGCGUCGGUUUUGUUCCAAUAACAGAGACCAAAGAGUUAAUCAGAUAUGGUUCAGCUGCUACAAUUGUAUGAUUCAAAGGCAAUUUAAUCACCCCAAAUUUCCAUGGCCCCCACAGUCAAGACCUGCCAUUCGUUUUCUCUUGCAGGUUGGAGUAAAUUUGCACUUUGAAUCAUGUGGGUCAUUUGGGGACCUUGUUCUUUUCUAUUUUGCUUUAUUAAUAAAGGAACUUGUAGAAA